rnacentral:rRNA from 1 species
UACGGAGGGUGCAAGCGUUAUCCGGAUUCACUGGGUCUAAAGGGUGCGUAGGCGGGUAAGUAAGUCCGUGGUGAAAUCUCUGAGCUUAACUCAGAAACUGCCGUGGAUACUAUUUGCCUUGAAUAUUGUGGAGGUGAGCGGAAUUGAUUGUGUAGCGGUGAAAUGCAUAGAUACAAUCAAGAACUCCGAUUGCGUAGGCAGCUAACUAGGCUGUAACUGACGCUGAGGCACGAAAGCGUGGGGAGCGAACAGG